rnacentral:lncRNA from 1 species
GAAAUAAACGAGUAUUUCCGGGUUUGACUAUUCGUAUGGUUUGAAUUCUACUAUUUUCUCAUUCUUCAAACUUUGUGUGCUCUGCCUUAUUUUAGAUUAAAAUUCGUGAAGCAUGGUUGUGGAUUUUUGACAUAAUUCCUUUAAUCGUAUGAGUUUCUAUACGUCCUAAUUCACAUAGGUCAAAAUGCCCAAAUUUUACAAUCCUUUAUUUGAUCUUAAUUUUCGAGUGAGUACUGAUUGUCUAUGUAUUUUUGGUGAAACUCAGAUUGGGUGAUCGGUUGUUUACUGAUGAUUUCUGGGUGAUCGGUUGUUUACUGAUGAUUUCCUUGAAAUUAGGACAUGCAACCUGUCUAAUUAUGGUAACCUUGUUCAAUAAAAGUGGAU